AAGUGGUUGAUGCCAUGCUUCCAAGAAAAGCUUCUAAGCUUCAGGUAACCAGGAACCGUACCCCAAACCGACACAGGUGGUUGGGUAGAGAAUACCAAGGCGCUUGAGAGAACUCGGGUGAAGGAACUAGGCAAAAUGGCACCGUAACUUCGGGAGAAGGUGCGCCGGUGAGGGUGAAGGACUUGCUCCGUAAGCUCAUGCCGGUCGAAGAUACCAGGCCGCUGCGACUGUUUAUUAAAAACACAGCACUCUGCAAACACGAAAGUGGACGUAUAGGGUGUGACGCCUGCCCGGUGCCGGAAGGUUAAUUGAUGGGGUUAGCUAACGCGAAGCUCUUGAUCGAAGCCCCGGUAAACGGCGGCCGUAACUAUAACGGUCCUAAGGUAGCGAAAUUCCUUGUCGGGUAAGUUCCGACCUGCACGAAUGGCGUAACGAUGGCGGCGCUGUCUCCACCCGAGACUCAGUGAAAUUGAAAUCGCUGUGAAGAUGCAGUGUAUCCGCGGCUAGACGGAAAGACCCCGUGAACCUUUACUAUAGCUUUGCACUGGACUUUGAAUUUGCUUGUGUAGGAUAGGUGGGAGGCUUUGAAGCGUGGACGCCAGUUCGCGUGGAGCCAACCUUGAAAUACCACCCUGGCAACUUUGAGGUUCUAACUCAGGUCCGUUAUCCGGAUCGAGGACAGUGUAUGGUGGGUAGUUUGACUGGGGCGGUCUCCUCCUAAAGAGUAACGGAGGAGUACGAAGGUGCGCUCAGACCGGUCGGAAAUCGGUCGUAGAGUAUAAAGGCAAAAGCGCGCUUGACUGCGAGACAGACACGUCGAGCAGGUACGAAAGUAGGUCUUAGUGAUCCGGUGGUUCUGUAUGGAAGGGCCAUCGCUCAACGGAUAAAAGGUACUCCGGGGAUAACAGGCUGAUACCGCCCAAGAGUUCAUAUCGACGGCGGUGUUUGGCACCUCGAUGUCGGCUCAUCACAUCCUGGGGCUGAAGCCGGUCCCAAGGGUAUGGCUGUUCGCCAUUUAAAGUGGUACGCGAGCUGGGUUUAGAACGUCGUGAGACAGUUCGGUCCCUAUCUGCCGUGGACGUUUGAGAUUUGAGAGGGGCUGCUCCUAGUACGAGAGGACCGGAGUGGACGAACCUCUGGUGUUCCGGUUGUCACGCCAGUGGCAUUGCCGGGUAGCUAUGUUCGGAAUAGAUAACCGCUGAAAGCAUCUAAGCGGGAAACUAGCCUCAAGAUGAGAUCUCACUGGAACCUUGAGUUCCCUGAAGGGCCGUCGAAGACUACGACGUUGAUAGGUUGGGUGUGUAAGCGCUGUGAGGCGUUGAGCUAACCAAUACUAAUUGCCCGUGAGGCUUGACCAU
rnacentral:ncRNA from 1 species